GACGAACGUUGGCGGCGUGCUUAACACAUGCAAGUCGAACGGAAAGGCCCUGCUUUUGUGGGGUGCUCGAGUGGCGAACGGGUGAGUAACACGUGAGUAACCUGCCCUUGACUUUGGGAUAACUUCAGGAAACUGGGGCUAAUACCGGAUAGGAGCUCCUGCUGCAUGGUGGGGGUUGGAAAGUUUCGGCGGUUGGGGAUGGACUCGCGGCUUAUCAGCUUGUUGGUGGGGUAGUGGCUUACCAAGGCUUUGACGGGUAGCCGGCCUGAGAGGGUGACCGGCCACAUUGGGACUGAGAUACGGCCCAGACUCCUACGGGAGGCAGCAGUGGGGAAUAUUGCACAAUGGGCGGAAGCCUGAUGCAGCAACGCCGCGUGCGGGAUGACGGCCUUCGGGUUGUAAACCGCUUUCGCCUGUGACGAAGCGUGAGUGACGGUAAUGGGUAAAGAAGCACCGGCUAACUACGUGCCAGCAGCCGCGGUGAUACGUAGGGUGCGAGCGUUGUCCGGAUUUAUUGGGCGUAAAGGGCUCGUAGGUGGUUGAUCGCGUCGGAAGUGCAAUCUUGGGGCUUAACCCUGAGCGUGCUUUCGAUACGGGUUGACUUGAGGAAGGUAGGGGAGAAUGGAAUUCCUGGUGGAGCGGUGGAAUGCGCAGAUAUCAGGAGGAACACCAGUGGCGAAGGCGGUUCUCUGGGCCUUUCCUGACGCUGAGGAGCGAAAGCGUGGGGAGCGAACAGGCUUAGAUACCCUGGUAGUCCACGCUGUAAACGGUGGGUACUAGGUGUGGGGUCCAUUCCACGGGUUCCGUGCCGUAGCUAACGCUUUAAGUACCCCGCCUGGGGAGUACGGCCGCAAGGCUAAAACUCAAAGGAAUUGACGGGGCCCCGCACAAGCGGCGGAGCAUGCGGAUUAAUUCGAUGCAACGCGUAGAACCUUACCUGGGUUUGACAUGGAUCGGGAGUGCUCAGAGAUGGGUGUGCCUCUUUUGGGGUCGGUUCACAGGUGGUGCAUGCCUGUCGUCAGCUCGUGUCGUGAGAUGUUGGGUUAAGUCCCGCAACGAGCGCAACCCUUGUUCACUGUUGCCAGCACGUUAUGGUGGGGACUCAGUGGAGACCGCCGGGGUCAACUCGGAGGAAGGUGGGGAUGACGUCAAGUCCUCAUGCCCCUUAUGUCCAGGGCUUCACGCAUGCUACAAUGGCUGGUACAGAGAGUGGCGAGCCUGUGAGGGUGAGCGAAUCUCGGAAAGCCGGUCUCAGUUCGGAUUGGGGUCUGCAACUCGACCUCAUGAAGUCGGAGUCGCUAGUAAUCGCAGAUCAGCAACGCUGCGGUGAAUACGUUCCCGGG
rnacentral:rRNA from 1 species